rnacentral:rRNA from 1 species
AUUGAACGCUGGCGGCAGGCUUAACACAUGCAAGUCGAACGAGUGGCGGACGGGUGAGUAAUGUUUGGGAAUCUAGCUUAUGGAGGGGGAUAACUACGGGAAAAUGUAGCUAAUACCGCAUACCAUAGGAUGAGCCCAGGUGGGAUUAGGUAGUUGGUGAGGUAAAGGCUCACAAAGCCGACGAUCCCUAGCUGGUCUGAGAGGAUGACCGGCCACAUGGGAACUGAGACACGGCCCAGAUUCCUACGUGAGGCAGCAGUGGGGAAUAUUGCGCAAUGGGGGCAACCUGACGCAGCCAGGCCGCGUGAAUGAAGAAGGCCUUCGGGUUGUAAAGUUCUUUCGGUAGCGAGGCGUUAACUACAGAAGAAGCACCGGCUAACUCCGUGCCAGCCGCCGCGGUAAUUC